rnacentral:misc_RNA from 1 species
AAGUCGUAACAAGGUUUCCGUAGGUGAACCUGCGGAAGGAUCAUUACCGAUUUUUAGCGGACCUGGUCUUUGAUCAUGGUCUCGCGAAAACUUGUAUUUAAAACCCCACUCUUAUAAAUUGAAUCAUUUUUAUUAUAUGUAUAAUAAAUAAAGAUCACUUUCAACAACGGAUCUCUUGGCUCUC